UACGUAGGGGGGCAAGCGUUUGUCCGGAAUCAUUGGGCGUAAAGCGCGUGUAGGCGGCCAGAUAAGUCCGCUGUGAAAUCUCGAGGCUCAACCUCGAGCUGUCGGGUGGAAACUGUCUGGCUAGAGUCCGGGAAGGGAGGAGAUGGAAUUCCUGGUGUAGCGGUGAAAUGCGCAGAUAUCAGGUGGAACACCCGAUGGAAGGCGGCACUGCGGGCCGAACUGACGCUGAGGAGCGAAAGCUGGGGAGCAAAC
rnacentral:rRNA from 1 species